rnacentral:rRNA from 1 species
ACGAACGCUGGCGGCGUGCUUAACACAUGCAAGUCGAGCGGUAAGGCCCUUUCGGGGUACGACGAGCGGCGAACGGGUGAGUAACACGUGGGUGACCUGCCCUCAGCUCUGGGAUAAGCCUGGGAAACCGGGUCUAAUAACCGGAUAUGACUCCAUGACGCAUGUUGUGGGGUGGAAAGCCUUGUGCGGCUGAGGAUGGGCCCGCGGCCUAUCAGCUUGUUGGUGGGGUGAUGGCCUACCAAGGCGACGACGGGUAGCCGGCCUGAGAGGGCGACCGGCCACACUGGGACUGAGACACGGCCCAGACUUCCACGGGAGGCAGCAGUGGGGAAUCUUGCGCAAUGGGCGAAAGCCUGACGCAGCGACGCCGCGUGAGGGAUG